AUAUGGAGAUUCCCAGGCUAGGGGUCUAAUCAGAUCUGUAGCCAUCAGUCUACGGCAGGGCCAUAGUAAUGUGGGAUCCAAGCCUUGCCUGCAACCUACACCACAGCUCAUGGCAACGCCAGAUCCUUAACCCAAUGAGCGAGGCCAGGGAUCAAACCCACAACCUCAUGGUUCCUAGUUGGAUUUGUUAACCACUGAGCCAUGAUGGGAACUCAUAUUUUCUCUUUUAUUUUGGCCACAUCCACGCGUGGAAGGUCUUGGUCCAAGGACUGAACCAUGCCACAGCAACAACUUGAACUACCUACUGCAGUGACAACUUUAGAUCCUUAACCCACUGAGCCACCUGGAAACUCCCUGUUUUUAAAAUUUUUUCCCUUUUUUUGCCUUAUAUUUUGCUCAAUCAAGUGACUAUUCCUUUCAUAUUUAUCUAAUUAAUUGGGAAUUCUAAUAAAAUUUCCCAGUCAAGAUAUUUACCAUUCUUUGAAUUAGACAUUUAUGAAAUUAAUUUAUUGAAAUUAAGAUAGUUACUAUGUUUCCCACCAGGCUACACUUAUAUUUCCACAGAGAGACCAGGGCCAGCAUGGCCGCUCUGUUUCAAAAGUUCUUAAAAACUGCCAGGAAUUAUAAAUAUAACCCUUUUUUAUAUUGCAAGGGAAGCAUUACAAAUGUAGCAAUCUAUAUGGCAUAGAAAUCAGCCCAAUUAGCUGGGACACCAAACUUUCAGAGAGGAUGCCAUCCAUAAACUGUAAGUCUGGCUGUAGACAUCUCCUGGCCCAAUGUACUCUUCACGUUGCUAUAGAUUUCCAUAUCUACCUAUAUCCAGCUAGUUAGCUAGGUAACUAGUUAUGAAGGCUAUGUAACAAUUUUUCUUAGUACAUUUUCCUCUUUAUUUCAAUUUUCUGGCUUCUCUUCUGAUUCAUAUUGUUAUUGACAUAAAUGAGAAAUAAGACUCUCAGAAUUCCUGCAUAACAUCAGUUUUCUUUCAUUUUCACCAAUGAAUGAGGUCUUAACUGGUACAAGACUCAGAGUGACCCUUUAUGCUUUCCCUACUUUAUACUCUAUUUUAUUCUUUUAUAGCUUCCAAUAAUAGAGAGGAAAAAAUCUGAGGAUGACAUGAAUUGUUUUUCUUUGGGGGUUAUUACUAUUAUCUCUGCUUGGAAAAUUGUUACUUUUUUGAAAUCAGUGCUUAGAGUCAAACUAUUUAUCAGAAUUUUCCUAGGUGUGUCUUUUUUUCCAUAAACUUAGCCUGGUGCAAAAUCAGAAUUUUUUACAAAAUCAGAAUUUUUUUCAAAAUCAGAAUAUUUUAUUUUCAUAUUCAUUUCAGUAACACCUCUCUUCCAUAAUUGUAUUCUUUUCUUUUGAAACUACUGCUUUUUAAAUUCUCCUAAUCACACCCCAAUUUUCAUCUCACCGUAUUUUUAUUCUAUGCUUUAAGGUAAUUCGUUACUUGAUCUUCCAGGCCCCUAAUACAUAAUAACCAACCUCAAUUUAGAGUUAUUUCAUAAAUGACUGUGGUUGUUGCUGUUGGCCACUAUUCUCCAUUCUUUGGGAGCGGAUAAUACGUUCCUGCCCCAUAGAAUUCAGGUUUGGCUGUGUGACAUAUUUGCCCAAUAAAACAUGAAUUCCUGUGACCAAAGGUAUGUGUGAGUCUAGGCCUCAAGGGGAAAUGAGCUCCCACCAGCACUCUGGCUCAUCCCUUCUGCCAUGAGAAGGGCACUUUCCACAUCAAGACUAUGCCUUCUGCCUGGGGUAAAGAUGAAAACACAGGUGGAAUAUAGCUGCAUUUCCUCUGCAGGGGUCCCCCUGUAUUAUGAGCCAUAAAUAAAUCUUUGUGAUUUGUAAGUCACAGAGAUUUUUGGAUUUUGCCAACACAUUCUUGCUCACUGAAGUCUUGCCUUCUAAAUGCACAUGGUUGCAGGUAGUAACUUGAGUAAAUGCUUUGUCCCUGCAUGCUUUGGCUCCUUUACUACUGGAAAUGGGGCCUGUGAUAUCUUUAAAUAUAAACAAAGCCCAGGAUCAAUUCUAGAUAACAGAGAGUUAAUUUGCAGAAAAGAUCAAUUUCAGAUUUAGUUCCUCUGGAUCUAUUUCUAGAACUAAAUUCUGUAUUGGGGUUGGAUCAGAGAAGUAGAAACACCGGAAGUGCUAUUUAACAAAGGAUUUAUUAUAGGGAUUUUUUUUUUUUUCUUUUUAGGGCCACACCUGCAGCAUAUGGAAGUUCCUGGCCUAGGGAUCAAAUUGAAGCUGAAGCUACAGCAACACUGGAUCUGAACCACAUCUAUUACUUAUGCUGCAGCUUGCAGCAACAGAGGAUCCUUCACCCACUGAGCAAGGCCAGGGUGUGAACCUGCAUCCUCACUAUGUCAGGUUCUUAACCUGCUAAGCCAUAUUGGGAACUCCUGUUAUAGGGAUUUGACUUUAUGAACAUGUAACAGCUGGUUGAAGUGUCUGUCUGAAGCUUUUGCUCCCACGUCCAGACCUGGGGCCCACUGUGGAUGGAGUAGGUGGCUCUGAAGGAAAGAUAGAUGAGAAAUAGAGGGUGAGGAUUUAACAAGGAGAGAUCAGGGAGUGUAAGGACAAGCUGGAAUCCACAGGGAUGAACUAGAACUCAUAUAGGUCUUAGCAACCUUUCAGGAUCUGACUGUGAUUAUAGAUGGACCUGCAGGAGAAGCAGGUAUUUUCAUAAUGAUGGUGAAUGAAGCAGGACUCUGAAAAGCUAAAGGAAGGUAUCCAACAGGGUCUGGAAAUACUGCAACCCUGGCUGUUGUCACAUUUCCACCAGGUGAGCCAAGGUAUAUGUGACAGAGUGCCCUGGAGCACCCUGGCUAUGCUUCACCUCUGUCUUCCAAAUCUUAUGUGAAAUGUUUCUUGUUUUCUGACCCACACUAAUCUGGAACUAUGCCUGGAAGGGAAUUCUGGAAACACAGUUUUGGCUCAGCUUAAAACAGACAACAAGAAAAUGUCACAGUCAAGAUUUGAUGAGUGAACAAUUAACCACUUUUAAGAAUGAACUGCAGUGAAUUUCAGCAGUCUGAAUACUCAGAACUCUCCUCUUCCCUAGGGAACCUAAUACUUCUUCUGUGGAAAAUAUAUUUAUUUCCAUUUGCUUGUUUAUUUGCUAGCAUCAAAUCUCUCACCACCUACCUUCUAUGAAGCAUCAUCUCAGCCCAUCCACUAGAACUUUUAGGUUUGCAUGAGCUUCAACCCGUUUAUCUGUGUCAUAGAAGCCUUCCUGCCCUAGAUUAACCAAGCAUCACUUUCUCGAUGUUUUGAUUAUUCUAAAUGUCUAUGUCAACAUGCAAGAGUAAUCAAGUAGCAUUUAGAGAAAGGGUUCAGGAAGAGAUAAAAGAUAAUAAAAGCUGCAGCUUGUGUAACGGAGCGUGUUAUGUUAACUUCUUUAGAUAAUGAAAACAAGGAAGCAAGGAGAGCUAAAGAAAAUAAAGAUGAGCUGCUUUCCCUCACCCCAAACCUCAAUCCUAAUAUGUUUACAACAAGCCACCAUCUAUCAGGGUAAAGAUACAUCUUCAAAAAUUAAGAGAUCCCUGAUAGUUUUUCAUUAAUAUAAAAUGUUCCAAUAUUUGCUAAUUUGGAUAUAGGAAGUUAAUUCACUAAGAGUAAUUAUAGAAGUGAUUCACGUUGCAUUGUUUGUGCCAAAAUACAGCAGUGCUGUCAGCCUAAAGAGGGUAGAGAGUCUCUAUCUUAUUUGUCAGGAUCGCUUAAAGCUAUGUCUUGCAGGUACCUACAAUUAACUCCACAAUUAAAGUGCUUAUUAUCACAAAUGGCUAAACACUAAGCUAUGUGUCAAAUCACUGUUUAGCACAACCUUAAGUUAAAGCAUCUACUGUACAUCUUGUUAUCCAGCCAAUAUAGAAAGUCGAGCCAAGCAUUUAAAACCCUGUUUAAAUAGACACAGUUACUAUAUCUAAUCAACACAGCAGUGGGGCUUGCCAAAAACCUAUAAAACUAAUGGAUUUGCAAGAAAAUUACAUCACCUUCAAAUCAAUGCUGGUAACACAGGUGGCAUUUAUAAAAAGCAAAGAAAUUGACAUUAACACAGCCCAUCUCUGCUGCCUGCCAAUGAGCACUCCAGCUUUAAGGAAAGAUCUUCUUUCUUCCAAGAAUUAUAUUUAAAUACGCUAACUUAAAUCAUUCUAAAAUAGUGUAGUAGAAAGGACCAGAGAUGGUUCUAAAAAUAUGUCAAUUGAUAAAUUAAGAAUACUCUGGUUUUAGUUUAUUAGGGCUGUCCUUAUCCAGCAAUGAGCAAAUAGUCUUUAAAAACAGAGUUUCUUUUCCUAUUGAAAAAAUAAAUAAAAGGAUUCACCAUCUAACUCAAACAUGACUUGCUUCUUCACCAAAGAGGCCCACAGAAACUGCAGUGCACAGUGUUAUAAAAAAGCAGCUGAGGACCCCAACCUGUGGCUGCAGGCAUAACCUCUGCUUUAGGGACCUGCAUUACUUAGCAGAUGGAAUUAAAAUUCUGAUAAGUGAUAUAAAAGGUUUAUAAGGGAGGAAAUUGUUGUGUGGUCACAUUGUCUGCCUUAAUCCCUUCCAGUCUGUGCUACCCAGCUUGUUAAAACCAAUCCAUGAGGAAUCAUUUUCACCUUGAAAACUCCAGAUGUUCAUAUGGAGCUUAGAAACAAAGCUCUCCAGAAAAUGCUUUCCUGGAUAAUCCUAGAGAAAUAGGAGGUAUGUAUCAAAAGUGUGUGCAUGCACACACACACACACACUGUUUACACACUGCCAUCAUAAAACACCUAUACGAAAUUAACAUAUUUCCUGGGAAGAGAUACUGUGUGCUACAAAUAUAAUCAGUUACAAAUCUAUUCAAGCAUAGGAAUGGCUUGUAUUCCACUGACUGAGCUACACAAAUAUUCCAUCUACAGGACUAGAUACUGAUAUCAAAUAUUUAGAUCAUUUGGCUUUAGAGGGAUAUCUGUACUGUCUCCUAAGAACAUUUUGUCCUCUCCUUUCAAAAAAUAAUCAGAGAAACUCAGAAGCAUUAGUUACACAGUGGAAGGGCCAAGUAGGUAAUAGUCCAUUUAACCGUAAGUAUUGGCAUCUUCCAAGGUGUAUUUUGUACAUGAGGACUAUAAACUUCAAGGGACUGUGUGAGCAGUAAUCAGGAUAAAGGCAUGUACGUAUAGGAGGAUUCUUCCAUGAGUUGCUAUAGAAAGGGAGGGUUUAAGUAAGGAUAUCAUUAAUAUAAUUAGCUACAAAAUUCUUUUUUUAAAACCAUGGUAGGAGACCAAUCAAGAUGGCAGAGUAAGAGGAAGUGGAACUCACCUCCCCAGUGAACACAUCAAAAAUACAACUAUGGAACAAUUCUCACUGAAAGUGAACUGGAAAUUGGCAGAAAGACUUCUGCACAACAAGGGCUGCAAGAAAGAUUCACACAUAAUAGGUCAGAAGGAAAGAAAUGCUCUCAGGUCAGGAACUGUGCAUGGGGAGGGAGACUCAGAGGAAAAGGGAGAAUUUAUGGGCAGAGCCCCUCCCUGGGGAUGGGCAGCGAGAGCCGCAGUUUGGGUGCUCCAGUCCUAGGGUUCUACACAGGGGAAAUGAGCCCCCCUUGUUUGGCUGGAGGACCAACAGGAGGGCAUGGAAAGGCUGGACUCUGCUCCUGAGGAGUGUGUGGGGGCUGGUGUGCCCCCAAGGCAAGGUGGGAGGGUGGAGGGGGCUCUGCUCUAGCAACUGCCUGGCUUCCCAGAAACCAAGAAACCACCUUGGAGUACAUCUCAGCCCCAGCCAUAUGAAUACUCCAGCCCCACUCAGUCCACAUCACAGCACAGCACUGUACUUAGGGU
rnacentral:lncRNA from 1 species